UACGUAGGGUCCGAGCGUUGUCCGGAAUUAUUGGGCGUAAAGGGCUCGUAGGCGGUUCGUCACGUCGGGAGUGAAAACUCGGAGCUUAACUCCGAGCCUGCUUCCGAUACGGGCAGACUAGAGGUAGGCAGGGGAGAGCGGAACUCCUGGUGUAGCGGUGGAAUGCGCAGAUAUCAGGAAGAACACCGGUGCGAAGGCGGCUCUCUGGGCCUUACCUGACGCUGAGGAGCGAAAGCGUGGGUAGCGAACAGG
rnacentral:rRNA from 1 species